rnacentral:rRNA from 1 species
CAGUCGCCACGGGAAUACGAAGGGGGCUAGCGUUGUUCGGAUUUACUGGGCGUAAAGCGCACGUAGGCGGACUUUUAAGUCAGGGGUGAAAUCCCGGGGCUCAACCCCGGAACUGCCUUUGAUACUGGAAGUCUUGAGUAUGGUAGAGGUGAGUGGAAUUCCGAGUGUAGAGGUGAAAUUCGUAGAUAUUCGGAGGAACACCAGUGGCGAAGGCGGCUCACUGGACCAUUACUGACGCUGAGGUGCGAAAGCGUGGGGAGCAAACAGGAUUAGAUACCCCUGUAGUCCCUGUCUCUUAUAA